rnacentral:lncRNA from 1 species
AAAAGGCCAAUAAGAUGUAUGAAAAAAAAGUGAACAUCAAAAAGCAUUGGAAAUGAACGUCAAGACUAUGAUGAGAUCACAUCACUCCAGUUAGACUACUAUCAAAAAAAUCAAAAGAUAACAAGCAUUGGUGAGAUAUGAAGAAAAGAAGACCCUUAUAUACUGGUGGUGGGAAUGUGUCCCAUCCACCACUUCCUACAGAGCUGUGUAUCUACUUCUCUCUAGGUUCCUGUGGUUCCCACCAGUCAAGGAGCAGUGAUUAUUUUACUUCUUGCCUGAAGCUGUUAUAACAGGACCAAGUGAAUGCACUGCAGCAGUUUGCUUCCUGUACCAUGGACCAAGCAUGUGGGAUCCUCACCACCUUUUUUCCUGAGUCACAGAGAGGCCACACAGAAGAGUUCUCCUAACUUCUUAAUUUCAAUCCAUGAUCUACAGCUUCAAGUUUUUAUUUCCCACGUCCUACCGUGCCCAUCUUUUGAGACUUUAAUUGAGUGACAUAAUUGAAUUUAUAUUUCAAGAAACCUCCCCUGAAGAGGAAUAUACCACCAAAAUACUAAAAUUUUUGCAAUAAGAAAAUGACUAAGACAUGGGCCAUGUGAUGGAAUAAUGAAUGGUGCUGAGAAGAGGCUGUGACAAUAGAUUCUUCAUUCUACAAACUGCCAGUGUGGGGAGCUUUACAGGAUGUAGCAGAUGGUGCCAUACUGUAGAUAUCCCAUCACUGGUAUAUCUAACUAGCAGAGCCCAGGUUUCACAAGGGCAGCUGGGGAAAGAGAUUUUAAAGUCUAUCUCAAGGAACAGACUUGAAAAUUGGAGAUGUCUCAUCAAACAGGAA